UCCUCUCAGCUGCUGCAGUGCUGCAUAGUACACUGCUCGCAUACAGCUACACACCUCUAUAUUAUCAGUCUAAUUGUUCUGAUUGUAACUAUCUUUAUUUGUACUUCUUUUUUCUCCAUUUAGAGAACUGAUCUUCAUCCUGCUAAAUACACCACUGAAUUUCAUUAUCAUAUUCUACAUGUAAGAAAAUGUAAGAGCUGUCACAAAGAUACUCAAAAAGGGAAUUAACAUUUGUUCAGAAGGAGACAAAUUCCAGUUAUCGAAAUUGGCAAAGAGCAAACAAGGAAGCUGAGGAAGCAGUACAUUUCGGACAUUGACCUGUUUCUCCCUCUACAAAAUGUCUCCUCUGACUUUGCGACAUAUUUGCCCUAUGAACUGUUUUAAUAUGUACCCCUGUAAAGCCGGAGCGCGAACUGUACGAAGAGUGUUUUCAUAAUUUUUGAAUAAAGCAUCAGCAUGAGACAAGGAUGGUA